UCUCAGCAAUGUCUCCAUUUGACUACCCAGAUACCACCUUGAACAACUCUGAAAACCUUGUUAGAUAUCCAAGCUGGAGGCCUGGACUGGACAAAAAGCAGAAGACCAGCUCAGCAGCAACAUUCAUCUCUCUCUUCUUCCUGAUGGAGAAGUGACCAGCAAUCAUGACUUAUCUAUUAUUGUAGACUAUAUCCUUAAGCUG
rnacentral:lncRNA from 1 species